GGGGUACUGCCAAGCGUCCAGGAGACCGGGACCCGCCCGCCUCGCAGAAGCCUCCCUCCCUGAUAAAUGGCGGCGCGCCGACCAGAUCCGCCCGCCGUCCACGCCGCCUGCUGCCUCCCUUCGCCGUGGUUCUCCUGCUCGCUUCGUCUGACUGAUCAAUCGCGUUUGCUAGCUACUACUCCGUAGUACGCUAGGAGGUGAGGCGCCUCGUCUAGUUCCCCCUCCGCCUCCGCCUCCGUCGUUACAUGGAGAGCCCCAGCGAUUGGUGUGUCGAAUUCCGCGUGCGCCGUCUCUCUCGAUUUGAAAGCGUUCUUUUUUUGCCCCCUUCCUCCUGGUAAUGCAGUGCCUGAGUUGUUUCCCUUCCGCCGUCGGGGAGAGGAUGGGAUCCUCGAUGGCGCCGGCGCCGGUGAAGGGGUCCCUGCAAGGGCCUGCUGCUGGGUGCCCGACGACCUUCCUCUCUGCACGGAAGCCACGGAGCGCCAGCUUCGUCCGCUUUCCGCGCAACCAUCCUCUGCAGCAGCAGCAGCAUGGCGGCGUCUUCCCGUCUCUAGCCUGGAGCGCAGGCGGCGACCGAUCGGGCAGGAGGCUCAAAGCCCAGGAGCCGGACCAGGUGCUGCGAAGUUGCAGGCCGUUGUUCAGUGAUGAAGAAUUUGCUGAUCCUCAGGCACCAACUUCUUAUGUCAACGUCCUUAACACGUUGAGGCUACGUCAUCCAUCGUCACGGGAGAAGAAGUUAAUGCGUGAAGAGGAUGAGCGAUGUAAAAUGGCUCUUCAGCAAUGUGCUAGAAGUUUUGUGGAUGGAAUCAUACAGUUGGUUUCAUCAAAGAAGGAAUACUACAAGUUUAUUAUAAUCGCCUGCAAAGAAAACACCAAUAAGAUCAUGGAACUGGGUUUCAUAUCUUGUAAAAACCGAGAUGACAUUCUAAAUGGUCUUGAAAGAAUAGAAGAUGAUAUUGCAAAAGGAAGGUUUAUGUGGAGAGAAAAUAAAGAUGUACGAAGUAAUAUUGUUGAAGCACUAGUUGAAAGAGUUGGAGGACCAGCAAGAAAUCUCGACGCAACAAUAAGUCAAUGUGCUCAAAAGCUAACAAUCCUCCGAUUAUGGUUCCAUGACUCUGCAGAUACAAUUGUUACUCAAAUAGAACAGCUUCAGAUGGGUAGAAUAGUUGGGUGGCCUAUCGAGUGUCCUCAAGGGCAACCUUUUGCCAUGUUACAAACAAGCAGGUUGAGCUUGUUUUGCUAGCACUAAGAAAUUGGGGAUUUGUUGUGCCUCUCCUUGCUCGACGUACUGACUGGAUUCUACUUGGCGAAUUGAUAUUGUCAAAAGUUGAGCUGGUCCAUUAGCACGAGAAUGACCAACAUGGCGAUCAGUGAAACAGCUAGACACACAACAAUGUUUGUGUUCAGGAGUGAGCGUAUCUGGUCAAGAGCAAAGCAUCUACGUAAGCUAACCCGUCGCUCUGUUCUUGACCUCCAUGGUUACCUUCUCCAAGACCUCGAUGACCCUCACCGUGUCACUUAACCCAAUAGAGGUCAUGUAGUCGUAGAGACCCACGUCUUGCUCAAACAGUGUAAUGCGCCUGUGGUUGAGUUCCAGUCGCAGCUGAGUCCACUGCUCAUCGGGUGCUUGUAGGCAUACCUCCUCAUACACAUCCAUUGAUAUAACACAGGCAUGCUCUAUUGCCAGAGCAUGCGCUUCCAGCAUGCGGUAUCUGAUGCUGCUCUGAGGCCAACAGCUCAAAGGAGUAUAUGCAUAUGUACAUCGAUUAGUAGCUAUUUCUAGUCUCAAGAGAAACGACACAGUUAUUUGUAAAAUAUUAUUGGGUUCAGUGUCCUCUGUACCUUCUAAAUUUUGUAGACUCCGUAAUGGUACUGCAUUCGGAGACCACCUUCAUCAA